GAUCUGAUAGAAAAGAAGGGGGAAAAAUUAAAUCAAUUUUCUUGGAAGAGAAAACUCAAGAACUGCUUUUAUUCUGAUGACUUUUGACUUUCUAAAAUUAGUCAGUGUUUCUGUAACAUACCUGACAGUAAUUUCAGGCAGAACUUCAGGGUACUUAAAGGGAAGAAUGCAGGCCAGAGAAAAUAUCUCCUGAGAAGAGCAAGAAGAAAGACAAAGGAAAAGAGAAAAAAGAAUGCCGUGUUACUGAUUCUGACCAUGGUUGAAGCUCUUGAAGACCACAGUUUCUUCAGGCAUUCCUUUUGUCCCUGGCUCCAGCAGGCUUUUGCACUUGGGGAGUGUAAUUGUUCCUUUGAACUUGGCCACACCUUUGGAAAAGGCCCCUUUAUUAAAGAGUCUCUUCAAAGUGUC